AACACCUUCUGCUGAAUGGUUUGCUGUUAAUUCAUCUCCAUGAGGUUGCUACAGCAACCGCCCCAUUGGGAGGAUUCAUUGGCACCUAGAUGGACUAUUUCCCUGACAUUCGCAGAGGAGGGCAAUGCCAAUGUUUAAUGAGAAGAGAGGAGAAGAUAAAUCCUGGCCAGAUGUUCCAAUCUCCUGAGUCUCCAUAAGCUCACAUCUACUCUGGGAAUGAAUGGGACACAGACGCAAAAGGAAAUGUGGGAUCUAACUUCUACACCGGGGAAUGAAUUUCUUCCCUUCAGUGGGGACAGGCAUUACAAAUGUCUAACCUGCAUGACCUUUAUGUCAUCACAAG
rnacentral:lncRNA from 1 species